GAGUGAGGCAAAUGAUACUGCUAGUAAGAGUUUCUCAGAUGGUGGAUGUUGCUUGAGAGGGAAGAAUUAGUCAACAGGGUCAGAAGGAAAUAUCCUUAAAAAGGAAGAUGAUCUCGAAAAUCAACGGUUUCAAUCAUCAUACAACAUUGCAGAAUGAAAAGGAGAAUGAAGAAAGUAGAAAAAGAGUGCACGAAGAAAAUGUAACUAGCAUUCCUCUAUCUUUAUACUGAGUAAAAAUUAGCCUUACGUUCAAGAUGUAGGAUAUACUCUCAACAGCAUGCACAAAGAAAGUUCAAUAUGAACUUGUUGAUAGGGUUGUAAGAUAAUUGAAUGGUCUUGAACUCAUAAGCAAGCUACUGGAAAAUAGUUUUUC